rnacentral:rRNA from 1 species
GCCAGCAGCCAUAUCAUCACCCUGCAACUCACAAUUGGAAGCCCACUGAAGAUCAUCAGGUGUGAGCCUAGCCAGUACCUGGAUGGGAGACCUCCUGAGAAAAACUAAGGUUGCUGCUGGAA